AUCGCUCAGGCUGUAGGAGGGAACUGGAAGGAUGCCCUCCCGGGGUCUGGCUGGCGCUGGGUGUCCGAGUCAGCGGAGCGCCUCCACCAGUCUCCCCGAGGCAGAGUCAUGGGGGUGCUGGCGGCUGGACGCUGUCUCAUCCCGGGGAGCCGCUUUCCCACCGGCUCCCUGGGCUCCAGCCGCCCCACGCGAGCCCCCGGCUGGUUCUGGGGCCAGGACCGCCCCUCUCCAAGGCAGGCUUCCCUUCCUUCCACGACAAAGACGCGCAGCCCCGUUUCCCUGGGGCUCUAGCCCGUGUGAUCGCCGGGUGUAUCCCGACUCCCGCCGGGACGUGCGCUCCUCCAGGGCAGGGCCCGCCUGUCCUCUUCCGCGGGUCGCCAGCAGCCAGCACAGGCCGCAAACAGCGGUCCGCAGAGCGGACCAACGGAGCCGACCCUCGCAGGCUUGGAGCCGGACGCGGCGGGGCAGAGCCCGCGAGGCUGCAGCUCGCCGGAACCCGCGGGAGGGCAGCCGGGCUGGGCGGAGCGCACAGCGCAACGGACCGACCGCGCGGGCUCUGCCGGCCACUUCCGGUGUCGCGCGGCGGCUCCCGGCAGGAGGGAGAGGGCACACCCCCAGCCCCAGGCCAGGCUGCGAGGGCCGCGGACCCAAGCCGGGAAGCACCUUGGGCGGACGAGCCGCGCGUCCCGCAGCCAUGGAGCAGGACGACCCGGCCGAGGCGCUGACGGAGCUGCGCGAGCGGCGGCUGGGCGCGCUGGAGCUGCUGCAAGCGGCGGCCGGCUCGGGCUUGGCAGCCUACGCGGUGUGGGCGCUGCUGCUCCAGCCCGGCUUCCGGCGCGUGCCGCUGCGGCUGCAGGUGCGGGGCGGGGCCGGGCCGGGUAGGGGAGCUCGGCUGCCGCGCAGGGUCUCAAGGUCUGGGCGGGGCCGGGGUGAGCUCCGCCCCCCGUCGGGUCGUUGGGGCCGGGCUGCGGGCGGGGGGGAGCGGCCAGUGGACUCUCGCCGCCUCCCCGUCCAGGUGCCCUACGUCGGCGCGAGCGCGCGGCAGGUGGAGCACGUGUUGUCGCUGCUGCGAGGCCGCCCCGGAAAAACGGUGGAUCUGGGCUCUGGCGACGGCAGGAUCGUGCUGGCGGCCCACAGGUGCGGCCUCCGCCCGGCCGUGGGCUACGAAUUGAACCCCUGGCUGGUGGCGCUGGCGCGGCUGCACGCCUGGAGGGCCGGCUGUGCCGGCAGCGUCUGCUAUCGCCGCAAAGAUCUCUGGAAGGUAACCUGGGGCUCUCUGGCCACCCGCUGACAACAACCCAAGGUGCGGCUGACACCUGCGAGGGCUGGGGGCCGGGACUCGGAAGCUGCGAUGACCCGGUGCCCACCAGGCCUCUCCCCUGCUGGGGCGACUUCUCUUCCGGCAGCUCCCGCUGCUGGAGGACAAGCUGCGGGCAGAGCUGCCUGCCGGGGCCCGCGUGGUGUCUGGGCGCUUCCCGCUGCCCACCUGGCAGCCUGUGGCCGUGGUUGGCGAGGGCCUGGACCGAGUAUGGGCCUACGAUGUUCCUGAGGGUGGGCAGGCUGGGGAGGCCAUCUCCUCGUGGAUACCCAUCCAGGCUGCCCUCGGACCUAGUUCUGCCUCCGUCCCGGGGGGCCUUGUUUCUCAGGCCAGCUGAGUGUUCAGACACGAUAAAGACUCUGUGGGUUGU
rnacentral:sRNA from 1 species